rnacentral:rRNA from 1 species
AUUGAACGCUGGCGGCAGGCCUAACACAUGCAAGUCGAACGCGUGGCGGACGGGUGAGUAAUGUCUGGGAAACUGCCUGAUGGAGGGGGAUAACUACUGGAAACGGUAGCUAAUACCGCAUACCAUCCGAUGUACCCAGAUGGGAUGAGCUGGUUGGGGGGGUAACGGCUUACCAAGGCGACGAUCCCUAGCUGGUAUGAGAGGAGGACCGGCCACACUGGAACUGAGACUCGGUCCAGACUCCUACGGGAGGCAGCAGUUGGGAAUAGUGCACAAUGGGCGUAAGCCGGAUGCAGCCAUGCCGCGUGUAUGAUGAAGGCCUUCGGGUUGUAAAGUUCUUUCAGCGGGGAGGCGUUACCCACAGAAGAAGCACCGGCUAACUCCGUGCCAGCCGCCGCGGUAAUUC